CCUUGGACUGCCAUGACCUGCCUGACUUCCAGGAGCCUCCAAGUAGCAUGGACCUCAUGUAUCAAGAACGGGAAGUUCAUUCUCCUCUCGAUGAGGCCAAAAAUCAUGAGCAUGAGGAGGGUAAAGAAGAGGAAGAACUUCUGGCUCCCAGGCCUAGCAGCAAAAUGGAGGGGACCCAGGAAUUGGAUGAAGACAUUCAGGCCUC